CAGUAUAACGAGCACCACAAGCCCGGGUUUAUUUAGAGUUUGCUCUCCUAGGCAGAUUGCCUACCACGGCUGACGACCUCCACCUGCCCGGGUUUAUUGUUCGGAGUUUGCUCUCCUAGGUGAAUUGCCUACCACGGCUAACGACCUCCACCUGCCCGGGUUUGUAUAGAGUUUGCUCUCCUAGGUGAAUUGCCUACCACGGCUAACGACCUCCACCUGCCCGGGUUUGUAUAGAGUUUGCUCUCCUAGGUGAAUUGCCUACCACGGCUAACGAGCCUCACCUGCCCGGGUUUGUAUAGAGUUUGCUCUCCUAGGUGAAUUGCCUACCACGGCUAACGACCUCCACCUGCCCGGGUUUGUAUAGAGUUUGCUCUCCUAGGUGAAUUGCCUUCCACGGCUAACGAGCCUCACCUGCCCGGGUUUGUAUAGAGUUUGCUCUCCUAGGCAGAUUGCCUACCACGGCUAACGAGCUCCACCUGCCCGGGUUUGUAGCCGGAAGAUCU